GAGUUUGAUCAUGGCUCAGGAUGAACGCUAGCGGCAGGCUUAACACAUGCAAGUCGAGGGGUAUUCUAGCAAUAGGAGAGACCGGCGCACGGGUGCGUAACGCGUAUGCAAUCUACCUUUCACAGAGGGAUAGCCCAGAGAAAUUUGGAUUAAUACCUCAUAGUAUAACGACUCCGCAUGGGGAUGUUAUUAAAGUCACAACGGUGAAAGAUGAGCAUGCGUCCCAUUAGCUAGUUGGUAAGGUAACGGCUUACCAAGGCUACGAUGGGUAGGGGUCCUGAGAGGGAGAUCCCCCACACUGGUACUGAGACACGGACCAGACUCCUACGGGAGGCAGCAGUGAGGAAUAUUGGACAAUGGGCGCAAGCCUGAUCCAGCCAUGCCGCGUGCACGAUGACGGGCCUAUGGAUUGUAAACUGCUUUUGCACAGGAAGAAACACCCCCUCGUGAGGGGGCUUGACGGUACUGUGAGAAUAAGGAUC
rnacentral:rRNA from 1 species